rnacentral:lncRNA from 1 species
UCUCCAAACACAUGGAUCUGCACACAAGGACGGCUCAGAUCACAUCCCGAGAUGUCACCCUGGCCCGGGCCGGUCAGGCCCUUCCACCGCAGGGCUGCCCCAUGGCAGCCAGUGACACCGCUGAGACAACUUUGCCGUGGCCUUACUUUCAUUUCCUUGGUUGUUCAGUUUAUGGCAAAAGACCCUCAGCUGUGUUUUGUUUACUAAUUCCCCUAAGCCUGCCUUAAAUCCAGACUGCCAGGGCCACAGGAAAUCUUUCAGACCCCUGACAGGGUGCUGAAAUAAUGAAUUUAUUAACCUUAGAUCAGUGAAAUGAAUGAAAACUAAACCUGCUUAAAGGAAAGCAUUAAGAUAGGAUCUCACAUUGUCACUCAGGUUGGAGGGCAGUGGUGGGAUCACAGGUCACUGCAUCCUUGACCUCCUGGGCUGAAGUAGUCCUCCCGCCUCAGCCUCCGUGGUAGCUGGGACUACAGGCACAUGCCACUGCACGCAGUGUCUUCCUUUGGCUUUGGUAUCAAGGUAAUGCUGGCCUCAUAAGUUGUCUCCCUUUAUCCAUGAGGGACAUCUUCCAAGGCCCCCAGUGGAUGUCUGAAACCGCAGCAUACUUUUGUCCAUAAAGCAAAAUCCGAAGAUUAGUGUUAAGAAACAGGAUUUGGAACUCUCAGAACAAGGCCAUUGGGGGUGGAGAUUUCUUACCUAUGGCUUAAAGAGGCUUCCGAGGUGAUCGGGCAGCAUCAGUCUUCAGCUGCUAAGCCGAGAAGAUCUGGGAAGGAGUCAGUCAGAGAGCCGUGGGCCAGAGUUCCAGGGGCUCUGGGAGUGGCUGCCAGGUAAGUUGAACAGUCUGAUUUUCAGUGGGGUCCUGCACAGAUGGGACACGGCUUAGGAGGAAUCCCGGGCUGUGGGCAUUCCUUGGCCUGGUGGCCAGAUUCCGGCACUUGUAGCAAGCUCCUGGGGGUUCUGGAGGAACACUUGGCAGCUGCAGUUCAGGCAUUUGGAGUUCUUGUGUGCUGGAGAUGUGGCUGGGGUUUGUCUCAGUGCAGGCAAGGAAUUGCAAUUUAGAAAUAUGUUGCUACUUGGCUGCCUCUACUCUAAUAUUGUAUACCUUGAAGGUGAGGUUAAUUAAGUCUUGUUGUGAGGUUUGAGGGCCGGAAUUUAAUUUUUGGAGCUUUAUUUAAUGUUGGGAGCAGAUUCAGUAAUAAAAUAAAAUGUAUAUUGAGAAUAAGACGUCCUUUUGACCUUUUAGGGUCUAGGGCUGUAAAGUGUCUCAGGGUUGCUGCUAAUGGGGCCAUGAACUGGGCUGGGUUUUUUAUAGUUGAUGAAAAAGAGCUUAAACACUAACUGAUUUGGGACAGGUCGGAUAAAUAAAAAGGAGCAUUAACAUUGACUAUGCCUUUAGCUCCAGCCACCUUUUUAAGAGGAAAUUGCUGGGCAGGUGGGGGAGGGCUACUCAUGGAACGAAACUAUAAGACAGACCGGGUGUGAGUAGGGGAGGUGAUAAAAAGAUUAUAGGGUGUAGGAGCGGAGGCUGAGGAAGAAUUGGGACCUAGCUCGGCCUGGCGAGGAGGGGAGAGGUCAGAUGGGUCUGUAGAAAAGGAAGAUUAGAAAGAGUCAGCAACGCUUGGGGUUGGGAGUGAGGGGACAGGCGGGAGGGAAAGAAGGAAGAUUU